rnacentral:rRNA from 1 species
CCUACGGGAGGCAGCAGUGGGGAAUAUUGCGCAAUGGGCGAAAGCCUGACGCAGCGACGCCGCGUGAGGGAUGAAGGUCUUCGGAUCGUAAACCUCUGUCAGCAGGGAAGAACGGUCACUGUGCUAAUCAGCAGUGAAUUGACGGUACCUGCAAAGGAAGCACCGGCUAACUCCGUGCCAGCAGCCGCGGUAAUACGGAGGGUGCGAGCGUUAAUCGGAUUUACUGGGCGUAAAGCGCGCGUAGGCGGUAUGUCAAGUCAAGGGUGAAAUCCCCGCGCUCAACGUGGGAACUGCCUUUGAAACUGGCAAACUGGAGUGUGUGAGAGGAGAGUGGAAUUCCAGGUGUAGGAGUGAAAUGCGUAGAUAUCUGGAGGAACAUCAGUGGCGAAGGCGACUAUCUGGCACAUAACUGACGCUGAGGAGCGAAAGCGUGGGUAGCAAACAGGAUUAGAUACCCGGGUAGUC